UACGUAGGGUGCAAGCGUUAAUCGGAAUUACUGGGCGUAAAGCGUGCGCAGGCGGUUCGCUAAGACAGAUGUGAAAUCCCCGGGCUUAACCUGGGAACUGCAUUUGUGACUGGCGGGCUAGAGUAUGGCAGAGGGGGGUAGGAAUUCCACGUGUAGCAGUGAAAUGCGUAGAGAUGUGGAGGAAUACCGAUGGCGAAGGCAGCCCCCUGGGCUAACACUGACGCUCAUGCACGAAAGCGUGGGGAGCAAACAGG
rnacentral:rRNA from 1 species